GAUGAACGCUGGCGGCGUGCCUAAUACAUGCAAGUCGAGCGAACAGACGAGGAGCUUGCUCCUCUGACGUUAGCGGCGGACGGGUGAGUAACACGUGGAUAACCUACCUAUAAGACUGGGAUAACUUCGGGAAACCGGAGCUAAUACCGGAUAAUAUAUUGAACCGCAUGGUUCAAUAGUGAAAGACGGUUUUGCUGUCACUUAUAGAUGGAUCCGCGCCGCAUUAGCUAGUUGGUAAGGUAACGGCUUACCAAGGCGACGAUGGGUAGCCGACCUGAGAGGGUGAUCGGCCACACUGGAACGGAGACACGGUCCAGACUCCUACGGGAGGCAGCAGUAGGGAAUCUUCCGCAAUGGGCGAAAGCCUGACGGAGCAACGCCGCGUGAGUGAUGAAGGUCUUCGGAUCGUAAAACUCUGUUAUUAGGGAAGAACAAAUGUGUAAGUAACUAUGCACGUCUUGACGGUACCUGAUCAGAAAGCCACGGCUAACUACGUG
rnacentral:rRNA from 1 species